rnacentral:rRNA from 1 species
ACGCACGCUGGCGGCAGGCCUAACACAUGCAAGUCGCGCGAGGACUUCGGUCCUAGCGGCGGACGGGUGAGUAACGCGUGGGAACGUGCCCUUUGCUUCGGAAUAGCCCUGGGAAACUGGGAGUAAUACCGGAUGAGCCCUUUGGGGGAAAGAUUUAUCGGCGAAGGAUCGGCCCGCGUUGGGUUAGGUAGUUGGUGGGGUAAUGGCCUACCAAGCCGACGAUCCAUAGCUGGUUUGAGAGGAUGAUCAGCCACACUGGGACUGAGACACGGCCCAGACUCCUACGGGAGGCAGCAGUGGGGAAUCUUAGACAAUGGGGGAAACCCUGAUCUAGCCAUGCCGCGUGAGCGAUGAAGGCCUUAGGGUUGUAAAGCUCUUUCAGCUGGGAAGAUAAUGACGGUACCAGCAGAAGAAGCCCCGGCUAACUCCGUG